rnacentral:misc_RNA from 1 species
GGCGGCCUUUUAGCCAUUGUUUCGUUUGAUUUGAAUUCAAGUUGUCCCGUCCCGUGUGUUAAAAAUGUUCAAAUCGACGGCACUUUGGUUAGAUCGACGCGUUGACGUGUGAGUGGCGAAUUGAAUGUUUGUGAUGGCUGGCUCCCUGCUUGCGCAGCGAACGGUUGUCGCAUACAUUUUUCAGUUGGAUCAGUGACGUAUUUGUGGGAUUUUUGUGUUGCCAACCCGAAUGAUGGAAUAUUCUUAUGACCCAGUUGCGUUAGCUUUGCCGAGCGCCCCUUGUGGCGCUAGGCGGACGGUUAUGCUGCCCCUUUUUUCGGCCAUGCUCUUCCCUUUUCGGGAACCAUGGAAAAUUAUGUGGUAUCGCUUGUUGCCUCGGAUGCGGAGCACGAAGCGGGCAUGAUGCCUUUCAUCAUUUGCUCAUUCGGAGCUCUCGAUUGCUCGGAAAGAGAGACUGUCGCGCUUGGUUUUGGCUGUUGACUCGUCGAACCAGCUCAAAACCUCGCCGAUGUCUUCAACGAAUGCUACCUGGUUGAUCCUGCCAGUAGUCAUAUGCUUGUCUCAAAGAUUAAGCCAUGCAUG